CCAGAAGCCAAGGGAGUCGGGCGGGCAAAGUGCCUCGCCGGCAUGACGGGCAAGGGCUCCCCUUACCUGGUACCAGCGCAGCGGCCGUCGGAAAGCUCGAGGACAAAUGACAAAUUACAAACAUCUGAUUUUCUCAAGUGUCCAAGGUAUUAUACACAUUCCCAUCUGUCUUACAGAAAGGAAUACUGGUCAACAUUUUUAGGUAAAAUAAGCUGCAUAAUAGUACAGAUUGCUAUAAUAAAUGUACAGUGUUUACAAAUAGUUUAGAAGCAAGGAAGAUGCAUCAGCAUCAAAAGGCAACCUUUUAAACUGCCACAACUAAUUUUACAUUCACGCUUU